rnacentral:rRNA from 1 species
UACGAAGGGGGCUAGCGUUGUUCGGAAUUACUGGGCGUAAAGCGCGCGUAGGCGGUGAUCCAUGUCAGAGGUGAAAUCCCGGGGCUCAACUCCGGAAUUGCCUUUGAAACGGGAUCGCUAGAGUCCGAGAGAGGAUGGCGGAAUUCCUAGUGUAGAGGUGAAAUUCGUAGAUAUUAGGAAGAACACCGGUGGCGAAGGCGGCCAUCUGGCUCGGUACUGACGCUCAGGCGCGAAAGCGUGGGGAGCAAACAGG